GUUAAACUACAAGUUUAACUCGCUAAAUAGUUAAAUUAAAUAGAAAGAAAGUAACAACGAUUAUUAAUUGUUAUAUCACUCCUCCUCGCAUAAAUACGCCACUUCGUUGAAACUUGUAAAUUAUAUCUUAGGAUACGCAUUUCUCUGUUAAUACACGUAGACGUAAAAUCCACCCCUUUUUCAUGCUAUUACACAUUUAUUAAAUUUAUAUUCUUAAUCACAAAUAUUACGGAAUUAUUCGUCCUUAAAAAUUAUUAGAUAUACUUAAAAUUACUUUACUUUCCAUUUUAAUCAGGAUUCAAGUUUCAUUUUUGAAUAUAUAUCUCGUUAUAUCUCGACGAUUUGUUAAAGAGAUGGGAAAUUGUCUAAUAUUCCUCGAAACAGGAACACGUGAAUGAUCUUUCGAUGAACUCUCACCCAAUUCAAUUUCGACGCCAUUUUUCCUUUCGCAUUUUCAGCUCGGUCUCUCAUUUCGGUCCUCCUCUUCUUUUCAUUCGUUCUAUCAAAGACCUCCAGAGAAUCUAGGACUCGAUUUUUGUCCUUUGAAU